rnacentral:rRNA from 1 species
UACAGAGGUCCCGAGCGUUGCUCGGAAUCACUGGGCGUAAAGGGUGCGUAGGCGGGUCUUUAAGUCAGGGGUGAAAUCCUGGAGCUCAACUCCAGAACUGCCUUUGAUACUGAAGAUCUUGAGUUCGGGAGAGGUGAGUGGAACUGCGAGUGUAGAGGUGAAAUUCGUAGAUAUUCGCAAGAACACCAGUGGCGAAGGCGGCUCACUGGCCCGGUACUGACGCUGAGGUGCGAAAGCGUGGGGAGCAAACAGG